rnacentral:piRNA from 1 species
UACUUCAAAAUACCUGGGUAGUGAC